CCUACGGGGGGCAGCAGUGAGGAAUAUUGGUCAAUGGACGCAAGUCUGAACCAGCCAUGCCGCGUGCAGGAUGACGGCUCUAUGAGUUGUAAACUGCUUUUGUACGAGGGUAAACCCCGAUACGUGUAUCGUGUUGAAAGUAUCGUACGAAUAAGGAUCGGCUAACUCCGUGCCAGCAGCCGCGGUAAUACGGAGGAUCCGAGCGUUAUCCGGAUUUAUUGGGUUUAAAGGGUGCGUAGGCGGUUUGAUAAGUUAGCGGUGAAAUGUCGGGGCUCAACCCCGAAACUGCCUCUAAUACUGUUGGACUAGAGAGUAGUUGCGGUAGGCGGAAUGUAUGGUGUAGCGGUGAAAUGCUUAGAGAUCAUACAGAACACCGAUUGCGAAGGCAGCUUACCAAACUAUAUCUGACGUUGAGGCACGAAAGCGUGGGUAGCAAACAGGAUUAGAUACCCGAGUAGUC
rnacentral:rRNA from 1 species